rnacentral:rRNA from 1 species
UAGGGAAUCUUCGGCAAUGGACGAAAGUCUGACCGAGCAACGCCGCGUGAGUGAAGAAGGUUUUCGGAUCGUAAAACUCUGUUGUUAGAGAAGAACAAGGACGUUAGUAACUGAACGUCCCCUGACGGUAUCUAACCAGAAAGCCACGGCUAACUACGUGCCAGCAGCCGCGGUAAUACGUAGGUGGCAAGCGUUGUCCGGAUUUAUUGGGCGUAAAGCGAGCGCAGGCGGUUUCUUAAGUCUGAUGUGAAAGCCCCCGGCUCAACCGGGGAGGGUCAUUGGAAACUGGGAGGCUUGAGUGCAGAAGAGGAGAGUGGAAUUCCAUGUGUAGCGGUGAAAUGCGUAGAUAUAUGGAGGAACACCAGUGGCGAAGGCGGCUCUCUGGGCUGUAACUGACGCUGAGGCUCGAAAGCGUGGGGAGCAAACAGG